rnacentral:rRNA from 1 species
GGCGAGCGCUGGCGGCGUGCUUAACACAUGCAAGUCGAACGGUGAAGCGAGUGCUUGCACUCGUGGAUCAGUGGCGAACGGGUGAGUAACACGUGAGUAACCUGCCCAUCACUCUGGGAUAAGCACUGGAAACGGUGUCUAAUACUGGAUACGACCAACCCUUGCAUGGGGUGUUGGUGGAAAGAUUUAUCGGUGAUGGAUGGACUCGCGGCCUAUCAGCUUGUUGGCGGGGUAAUGGCCCACCAAGGCGACGACGGGUAGCCGGCCUGAGAGGGUGACCGGCCACACUGGGACUGGGACACGGCCCAGACUCCUACGGGAGGCAGCAGUGGGGAAUAUUGCACAAUGGGCGAAAGCCUGAUGCAGCGACGCCGCGUGAGGGAUGACGGCCUUCGGGUUGUAAACCUCUUUCAGCAGGGAAGAAGCGAAAGUGACGGUACCUGCAGAAGAAGCACCGGCUAACUACGUG